rnacentral:lncRNA from 1 species
ACUCAAACUGUAAUUUGUAGUAAUUUCUUAUUCGAGUUUUCUGAAUUAUUACAAUCAAAUCGCAGAAUAGCAUUUAGUAGGUUAAAUGCUGAUAAUGUUGUUGAUGUAUAAGUGAUAUAGUAUCUUUAUUAUUCUCGCAUCAUUAAUCACAAUACUCUUAUAUAUAUUACUUCUACAUCAAUAAAUUCUGAUUCAAAAUUUCUGAAUUAUUAUAAUAAGUCGCCCAAUCCAAUUUAGUUGACUAAGUAUUGACAAAUUGUUAAUGUAUAAAUGAUAUGGCAUCUUAAUUAUUCUCGCAUCAUCUGUCACAAUACUUCUACAUCACUUCUAUAUCAAUAAUUUGUCAUUAAUAUUUAGCCAAUUAAAAUGGAUUAUUAGGUUU